AUGUAUAUGUUUUUACUAGUAAACACAAUCUUGUUAAUUGGGCCCUGCAACAUGGGGACAUUUUUCUGUGCUCAACAUGCAGGAUGGAACAAUUUGGCAACUAUACAGAAGAUACAAAACAAAUACUACAAAAACUCAACCACAGACGAUCUUGUUCUGAGGGCAACACUAGACUCGAUGACUAGAAUCGGAUAA
rnacentral:rRNA from 1 species